UAAGAUCCCUGAAAGAUGAUCAGGUUGAUAGGUCUGAGGUGGAAGUGUGGCGACACAUGGAGCUGACAGAUACUAAUCGAUCGAGGACUUAACCAUA
rnacentral:rRNA from 1 species